rnacentral:sRNA from 1 species
GUUUGCAUUCAUCGGGGAAGGGUGAGAACCUUCGACUAAGGUUCGAUUCGAGCGAAAGCGAGAGAACGUUGCCACAGGCAACGGCCCGAAGGGUGAGGAGCGAAGCGACGAAUAAUCCUUCCCCCACCACCA